rnacentral:rRNA from 1 species
UACGUAGGUCCCGAGCGUUGUCCGGAUUUAUUGGGCGUAAAGCGAGCGCAGGUGGUUUAUUAAGUCUGGUGUAAAAGGCAGUGGCUCAACCAUUGUACGCAUUGGAAACUGGUAGACUUGAGUGCAGGAGAGGAGAGUGGAAUUCCAUGUGUAGCGGUGAAAUGCGUAGGUAUAUGGAGGAACACCGGUGGCGAAAGCGGCUCUCUGGCCUGUAACUGACACUGAGGCUCGAAAGCGUGGGGAGCAAACAGG